rnacentral:rRNA from 1 species
GACGAACGCUGGCGGCGUGCUUAACGCAUGCAAGUCGAACGGAAAGGCCCUGCUUUUGUGGGGUGCUCGAGUGGCGAACGGGUGAGUAACACGUGAGUAACCCGCCCUUGACUUUGGGAUAACUUCAGGAAACUGGGGCUCUUACCCCAUAGGAGCUUCUGCUGCAUGGUGGGGGUUGGAAAGUUUCGGCGGUUGGGGAUGGACUGGCGGCUUAUCGGCUUGUUGGUGGGGUUGUGGCUUACCAAGGUUUUGACGGGUAGCCGGCCUUAGAGGCUGACCGGCCACAUUAGGACUGAGAUACGGCCCAGACUCCUACGGGAGGCAGCAGUGGGGAAUAUUGCACAAUGGGGGGAAGCGUGAUGCAGCAACGCCGCGUGCGGGAUGACGGCCUUCGGGUUGUAAACCGCUUUCGCCUGAGACGAAGCGUGAGUGACGGUAAUGGGUAAAGAAGCACCGGCUAACUACGUG